GCCCCGCGAGCCGCGUGCCAGGAGAUGGGAGCCGGCGCACCUCGCUGUGGGGCCACGUACUUGCUCCAAGUGUCACGUCUAGGGAUAAACACGAAGGCAGCGCUCGAACGUGCAGGAAACGUCCAGGUUAUUCCCUGCAUUUACCGAGAGGUCCCGGACUGGGCGCGCUGUGAGAGGGGAGGCCGAGCUCGAGCCGAGGCGCCUAUUCAUCCUUUGCUCGCGGAGACAGCGAAGCUCUCCUCCGGCAGCAACUGGGAGGCGCUCGCUGCUGCCCAGGUGGCCGCGCCGGUCUCUCGCUUCCUGGCUUUGCUGGCCCAGGACUCCACGUUUGUGUCCUGACCUCCCUGAUUACAGCAGGAGACGCCGUGACGCCCGACGUGAGCGAGACGGCUAACAGGGCAGGCCCAUGACGUCGUAACAUCACCCCAAAUAACUUUACUACAAAGCAGGUCUCUGAGCCACAAGACCACAGAGAAAACAGCCCCAAGGAGAAGAUGCCAGCACAGUCUCACCCCAAGUCUCACACAAGGUAUGAGGAGAUACAAUGGACUGAACCGUGGUCUCCAAAAAGAAGUCCUAUCCGCAGAUACCAGGGAUGCGACCUGGAAAUAGGGCUUCUGCAGAUGCCAUUAGGUUAAGGUGGGCCAGUCCUACAGACCCACAGCCGACCCAGCACGCCUGGAGUCCGUAUCAAGAAUGCGCCCACCGGAAGAGGCAAGGAAGGACCCUCCCCAGGGCCUCCGGAGGGAGCGCCCCUGCUCAUGCCUUGCUUCCGGACCCCGGUAGAAUUGAGAGAAUGAACGUCCCCUGUUCUGAGCAUGUGGCCUGUGGUGUUGGUUUCAGCAGCCCUAGGAGAUGACACAGAAGGUGGACGCCUUGGGGCGCUGUCCCCUAGGAGAGCACUGGGUGUGCUCCCAGCACAGACAAGCCUUUUCUUUUUCAGCUGAGGAAGUCCAACUUGGGGUGGGGGGGUUAAGAGGCCCUGCCUGAGCUCACACGGCGUCCAGGCAGCACUGGCCCUCAGCCAGGUCUGGGGGGAUCUCAGCAUAAAAGAGGGAACCAAAGCUCUAGGUCUGAGCAGCGUCAGGGCCACACAGCCCAGGCAGAGGCGGGGCGGGAAUUCACUCCAGGUCUGGAGCCAUGCUCUUCUCCUACCUGCAACCCUCUCUCUGCUGCUGGAGGAUGAAAUCUGAGCUAAAGGUAAAGACUGAGCCAGGAGGUCAGCAGGCCCAGUGAGGACACUCGUUGCCGGAGGUAGCGCUGUUUUCCCGGGUGACAAAACCCCAGGGAGUCCAUGCAGUCACUUCUGCUACUCCAGUGCAUCUGCUAAGUGCCCAACACCCAAAACUAAUCUGAGGACACAAAGUAAGGCUUCCCCCCUUCUGUGAUCAAAGCAAAAUAUGCUCAUUUUGGAAAAUUUGCAAACAACAAUAAAGUGUGAAAGUGGAUGCAACUAUUCCACUUCUGAGUAUUUAACCCCGAAGAAUUAAAAGCAGGAACAUGAGAAGAUUAUUUGUACACCAGGUCCACAGCACCAUUACUCCCAGGUGCCAAGAGGUGGCGGUCACCUAAGGGUCUGGUGGAUGAAUGGAUAAGGAAAAUG